UGUCUGAAAUCCACAGAUUAAAGGCUCCAUGUUAAUAAAACAUCAUCAUGAAUGCCAAAAAGGGCCAGUUCCUUGGUUUCACAUGUCAUGACUAAAGUUUUAUUUUUUCCUCUCCACAGUCACAGUCUGCUUCAUCAGAGUUACAAGAGCCAUUUGGAUGUCCUUCUUUUUGCUCUGUCGUUGACAGUUAGUAUUUGAGUUAGGAAAAUGGGGAUCUUCUCCACCCAGGGAUCAAAUCCAUAUCUCCUGCAUUGGCAGUGGUUUCCUGGGACUUCUGGAACAAAAGACCACAGGCCAGGUUGCUUCAUACAACAAAAAGUCUCUAGAAGUUCUGGAGUGCAGGAGGAUGAAGCCAGGUGUUGUCUCAUUCACAGGUUCUGAGUGCACAUGUCUUUUGGGAGGCACUACUAACCCCAGCAGAGACAUCACUUUGCCAACAAAGAUCUGUCUAGUCAAAGCUAUGGUUUUUCCAGUAGUCCUGCAUGGAUGUGAGAGUUGGACCAUAAAGAAGGCUGAGCACCAAAGAAUUGAUGCUUUCAAAUUGUGCUAGAGAAGAUUCUUGAAAGUCUGUUGGACAGUAAGGAGAUCAAACUUGUCAAUCCUAAAGGAAAUCAACCCUGAAUACUCACUGGAAGGACUGAUGCUAAAGCUGAAGCUGCAAUAGUUUGGCCACCUGAUGCGAAGAGCUGACUCAUUGGAAAAGACUCUGAUGCUGGGAAAGAUUGAAGGCAAAAGGAGAAGGGGGUGGCAAAAGAUGAGAUGAUUAGAUAGCAUCACUGACUCAGUGAACAUGAAUCUGAGCAAACUCUGGGACAUAGUAAAG
ensembl:lncRNA